AGCAGCCGCGGUAAUUCCAGCUCCAAUAGCGUAUAUUAAAGUUGUUGCAGUUAAAAAGCUCGUAGUUGAAUUUCGGGAUCAAUAUAUUGGUCGUGCCUUCGGUACGUACUGGUAUCGUUGAUUUCUACCUUCUGACGAACCAUGAUGUCAUUUAUUUGGUGUCAUGGGAAAUCAGGACUGUUACUUUGAAAAAAUUAGAGUGUUUAAAGCAGGCACACGCUUGAAUACAUUAGCAUGGAAUAAUGAAAUAGGACGUUUGACCCUAUUUUGUUGGUUUCUAGGAUCGACGUAAUGAUUAAUAGGGAUAGUUGGGGGCAUUAGUAUUCAAUUGUCAGAGGUGAAAUUCUUGGAUUUAUUGAAGACUAACUACUGCGAAAGCAUUUGCCAAGGAUGUUUUCAUUAAUCAAGAACGAAAGUUAGGGGAUCGAAGACGAUCAGAUACCGUCGUAGUCUUAACCAUAAACUAUGCCGACUAGGGAUCGGAUGAUGUUAAUUUUUAAUGACUCAUUCGGCGCCUUAA
rnacentral:rRNA from 1 species